CAGAAGUGCGUCUGAGAUCGUUAUAUUGUUUUCUGUUUGUUUUCUUUAUUUUGUACUCAUGUUUGUGUACAUUUGCAGUAGGAAAAGAUAAUCUAUGAAUCCAGUAAUACAUCCUGCUUAUAAGAAAUGUUUCUGUUAAAAAUUAUUGUGAAGUAGUCACUUCCUGUGAGUCGCGGGAACCGGAAGUUGUGCGCGGGAGAGACAAGACAGAACGGUAACAAGGCGGACUUUUCGGAAUGUACAACUUUUCUACUACUGGUUUUACAAGGCGUACACGUCCUGAAGGUUCGAGCACAGUGACAGUUCAGUCUUCCAGCCGUCAGCUGACAUGUGAUGUAAAUCAGGGCAACAAACUGCUGUACCAGGAGGAGACGAUGCAGGAUGUGUCAGGAAAAUACAGCCUGGAGGUGAAGGGGACUGCAUGUGCUUCGGUGCAGGUCAGUGACAGCAUCAUGUGAGAAGGUCCUGGUUGUCUUGAUGUCAAAAAAAGGGUUUCUUUUUUUUCUUUUUACUUAUAAAACGGUAAAGAACAUUACCAUUCCUAGAUCUAAUAAGGAUCAUUUUUUACAUGUAUUUUCAUAGACAACAAAGUGUAGAGAAUACAAUGCUAUUUUAAUCUAAAUUCGAGAGCUGAGCAAAAAUAAACUCACUUUCUGUCUGUAUCAGAAUCAGAGAAACUUUAUUAAUCCCAGAGGGAAAUUGAGUUAUCAUAGCAGCAAAUAUACAACAGACAUCAAGCACUCAUAUAAAAUGAGUUUAGAAACAGAAACAUUGAUUGAUAAAUAUUAAGAUAAAUAGAUAAAUAUAGAGAUACAGGUAUAAAUAUAAAAUAAAUAUAAUAAAUAUAUUAAAUAAAUAUAAAAGGACAAGUAUGUGUGCAAAUAUAUGUCAUGGUGUAGAAAAGUGACAGCAGGGUGCAUUGAGGUGUGAUUAGUUCUGUUCCACACGUGUGGACCUGACCCAAGUUUGUUUCCCAGAUUUCUGUCCACUACAACUGUCAGGGACCUGGGUCUGAGGGACCCAGGGCCCAUAAGCAGUUUUGAAUUUAUAUUACUUGCUAUAUGUACAUUUGAUGUAUUGUAUGGCUGUCCCUGGUUUCCCUGCUUGCAGGUAUGUGUAUGGGUGUGUGUAUGGGUGUGUCUGGUAGGAUGGUUUACAGGCACCAUCAGGCCUGGUGGGUGUGCCCUGCCAGGUGACUGGCCACACCUGAGGAAGAUGCACACACACACCUGCAGCUGAUCAAGCCUCGUCGGAGGAGCUACUUAGGAGUGUGGUGGAGCUCUCUCUGAUGCUGGAUUGUUUCGUGAGACUUCUGAGAAUUGCGUGACGAGAGGGCAGCAAAGACGGACCACACUAACACUAAGGAGUGGAGACACAGAGCACUGACGCUGGAUAAGGACACGGAACGGGAGUCUGGGACACUAGGGGAUUUAUUGUUGCUUACUUCACCACCUUGUAAAUAAACACUAUUUGCACUGAAGAGUCCGGCGUUUGGGUCCUGUUUCCCCACCUCCCCACGGUCUGCCGACGCAGGCCGUGACAACAACAUCCCAACACCUACUGAUGUCACCACUCUGUGUGAAAGUACAACUAGAGGUUGACACCACAAAUUAAUCUGCCAGACCCAAAUUCACUGUGAAAAUACAAUCCCUGUAAGUAUCUGAGAAGUUAUAGAUGUCACAGAGGAGUGUUCUUUACCAGUGUGGACUAACUGUUGGUAGAUGAAAAGCAUGUGUGCAUACAGGUAAGUAUAAUCACAUUUUAUUUAUUUCUUGAUCAGCACUCUGACACACUUUGCUCCUCAGAGCAUUUGUAUAUGAAACCGAACAGUUAAUAAGAGCUGGUGUUUAAAUGAGUUGGACACAUAGAGAAAUUAAACUUAAUGUUUUUCUACCAUAUUUUUCUCUCAGGUGACCAGGCUGAGACCGAAUACGUUUUUGUCUCAUGAGCUGCAGGUAAGAAACUGUAAUAACACACAAGUACACCUUUCACACACAUUCAUUUAAUUUUCAUAAUUUCACUGAAAAUUAAAGGACUAAAUUUUAACUUUUAUUAACUUUUAUUACUCAUUUCACAGUUGGAAUAAAGUGUAGUUGAUCCUCAGGUCAUCACUCAAGUUAAAACCUACAUUUUAAUAAAGCGACUUUUUCUGAUGCUUAAUUGAAAAAAUGCUUAAUUUUUUAAUAAUAAGCAGAAUGGAAAAUAUGGUGCUCUGAAUGCACCCCUAAGACUGGCCUCUGUUAUGCCAUAUUUCUAUUUUAGUGCAGCUGAGCAGUGUUAGCAGUUGUGUGUUUUAGCAAAAAACAAAAUGGUGCAAGUCAACUUUGAAUGGGCAAAACAUUAAAAAAGCAAAACGUGCUCUUGGAAGUCAUUCAGUUAGAGCUGCAUAGUGACUUCCAUGGAAAUAAAAGAAAGAAACAUGAAUGCUACUCUGUGUGCGUCUGUAUGUGUGUGUGCACAGUUUGCUGAUAUGAGACAUGCAGAAAUUUUUUUGUUUUCAAAUCAAAUAAAAUCAAAUCACUUUUAUUGUCACGUCACAUUACUGGUACACUGGUACAGCACAUGUGAGUAAGAUUCUUUUGUGCAAAUUUCACAAGCAACAGUGGUGUGCAAAAUACAAGAAACAUAAGAAACAAGCCAAUUAUAAGAGUAGGAAUGUGAGAAUUAU